CGGUAACAAAGGGAAAGGCGAACCUGUNAGGGGGAGGCAAAUCCCAAAAAUAAACGUCCCAGUUCGGACUGUAGUCUGCAACCCGACUACACGAAGCUGGAAUCGCUAGUAAUCGCGAAUCAGAAUGUCGCGGUGAAUACGUUCCCGGGUCUUGUACACACCGCCCGUCACACCAUGGGAGUCGGAAAUGCCCGAAGUCUGUGACCCAACCUGAGAGGGAGGGAGCAGCCGAAGGCAGGUCUGAUGACUGGGGUGAAGUCGUAACAAGGUAGC
rnacentral:rRNA from 1 species